rnacentral:rRNA from 1 species
AUUGAACGCUGGCGGCAGGCUUAACACAUGCAAGUCGAGCGGAGAUGAGGUGCUUGCACCUUAUCUUAGCGGCGGACGGGUGAGUAAUGCUUAGGAAUCUGCCUAUUAGUGGGGGACAACAUUCCGAAAGGAAUGCUAAUACCGCAUACGUCCUACGAGAGAAAGCAGGGGAUCUUCGGACCUUGCGCUAAUAGAUGAGCCUAAGUCGGAUUAGCUAGUUGGUGGGGUAAAGGCCUACCAAGGCGACGAUCUGUAGCGGGUCUGAGAGGAUGAUCCGCCACACUGGGACUGAGACACGGCCCAGACUCCUACGGGAGGCAGCAGUGGGGAAUAUUGGACAAUGGGGGGAACCCUGAUCCAGCCAUGCCGCGUGUGUGAAGAAGGCCUUAUGGUUGUAAAGCACUUUAAGCGAGGAGGAGGCUACUGAGACUAAUACUCUUGGAUAGUGGACGUUACUCGCAGAAUAAGCACCGGCUAACUCUGUGCCAGCCGCCGCAGUAAUAC